CUGUACUCUAAUUCUUUAGAGAGCCAUAAAUGGUCCUAAGAUCUAGGAUUUUUCACAUCCGCCCUCUACCCCCAAGAAUCAGUUUCACCCCCUUGGGGGCGAUAUUGCCCCUGUUGAGAAGGAAUGGCAUCUGCUAAUUUCUUAUUUCCAGGCAGGGGACGGAUGUAUUUUCUGUAAGAAUCUCACCCCUUUCCCCCUCUUAUCCAUACAGGAUUGUUAAGUGACAAGCAGAGGAAACUUUUUAAAACAUCUUUGAAGAUGCAUGAAGGAAGAGUGGCGAGAAGAAGGAGAGAAAUGCACCGGAGGCAUUUCUGCCCGGUGUGUGUGCACCCUGCCUGUGCUGCUGAGAGCAGAUUCUGAGAACCAGCACCUCUAAACCAGGAGGCCGGCUCCUGGCAGCAGCGGUGCAGGGGUGUGUGGCUGUAUGUCAGCAGCCCAAGGAAGCAGCCACCCACCGCCACCCCAGCUGGCUGCUGGACCUGCACUGCUGCUCUGCAGCCUGCAGACCCUUCCAAGCCAAGCAGCAAUUACAGCUCCGUGGCGUGGCGAUUGGGCUCGGCCGAUCCGCUCCUGCUAUUAAUUAAUCUUACAAAGGGGGCUCAUUUCCUGGCAUUCAAAUUGACAAGAGACCAGAGAACAGAAAAACCCUUUCAACCAGCUCCAGCUCACGGAGGGGAAGAGGUAUCGGAGGAGAGAGCCCCACAGUAUUUGAGGUGGAGGGCACAUUUGAUACUCUCUGUGCAUUCUGCUGAUUGAAUGAUUUUUGUUCAGGGAGAGCUCUUUUACUGAUCUUUUACCUGCAAAAGCCUUCCACAGAAGGCGAGGCAGCACCAAUGUAGCUGCGUUUUGACAGAGGAGAUUUACAGGAGCUUGCUUCCCGGGUCUCAGGCUCCCGAAUGCAUCUUCUUGAACAUUACACUUCACUUAAAAAAA